rnacentral:rRNA from 1 species
ACGCACGCUGGCGGCGUGCUUAACACAUGCAAGUCGAACGGAAAGGCCCCUUUGGGGGUACUCGAGUGGCGAACGGGUGAGUAACACGUGAGUAACCUGCCCUUGACUUCGGGAUAACUUCAGGAAACUGGGGCUAAUACCGGAUAGGAAUCCUUGCUGCAUGGUGGGGGUUGGAAAGCUUCGGCGGUUUUGGAUGGACUCGCGGCUUAUCAGCUUGUUGGUGGGGUAGUGGCUUACCAAGGCUUUGACGGGUAGCCGGCCUGAGAGGGCGACCGGCCACAUUGGGUCUGAGAUACGGCCCAGACUCCUACGGGAGGCAGAAGUGGGGAAUAUUGCACAAUGGGCGGAAGCCUGAUGCAGCAACGCCGCGUGCGGGAUGACGGCCUUCGGGUUGUAAACCGCUUUCAGCAGGGGCGAAGCUUGUGGUGACGGUACCUGCAGAAGAAGCACCGGCUAACUACGUG